UGGGGAAUAUUGCACAAUGGGGGAAACCCGUGAUGCAGCGACGCCGCGUGAGCGAGGAAGUAUUUCGGUAUGUAAAGCUCUGUCAGCAGGGAAGAAGAAUGACGGUACCUGAAGAAGAAGCACCGGCUAAAUACGUGCC
rnacentral:rRNA from 1 species